rnacentral:rRNA from 1 species
ACGAGUUUGAUCAUGGCUCAGAUUGAACGCUGGCGGCAUGCCUUACACAUGCAAGUCGAACGGUAACAGGUCUUCGGAUGCUGACGAGUGGCGAACGGGUGAGUAAUACAUCGGAACGUGCCCGAUCGUGGGGGAUAACGCAGCGAAAGCUGUGCUAAUACCGCAUACGAUCUACGGAUGAAAGCGGGGGAUCGCAAGACCUCGCGCGGACGGAGCGGCCGAUGGCAGAUUAGGUAGUUGGUGGGAUAAAAGCUUACCAAGCCGACGAUCUGUAGCUGGUCUGAGAGGACGACCAGCCACACUGGGACUGAGACACGGCCCAGACUCCUACGGGAGGCAGCAGUGGGGAAUUUUGGACAAUGGGGGAAACCCUGAUCCAGCCAUGCCGCGUGCGGGAUGAAGGCCUUCGGGUUGUAAACUGCUUUUGUACGGAACGAAAAGGUCCUUUCUAAUAAAGAGGGCUCAUGACGGUACCGUAAGAAUAAGCACCGGCUAACUACGUG